rnacentral:misc_RNA from 1 species
AACGCACAUUGCACCUCUUGGUAUUCCUUGAGGUAUAUUUGUUCGAGCGCCGUUUAAAUCUUAAAGCUUUGCUUUGUGAUGAGAUUUGUUGUUUUACAACAAUCUUCAAAUAUAUUUUCCCAAAUUACUUGAUGAAACAGCGAAAGUGUUUUUUUCAAUUCUAAAUAAGGGUAAAUUAACGAUCACAUGGCCUCGAAUCAAAUAAGGCUACCCGCUGAACUUAA